rnacentral:rRNA from 1 species
UGAAAGACGGUUUUGCUGUCACUUAUAGAUGGAUCCGCGCCGCAUUAGCUAGUUGGUAAGGUAACGGCUUACCAAGGCAACGAUGCGUAGCCGACCUGAGAGGGUGAUCGGCCACACUGGAACUGAGACACGGUCCAGACUCCUACGGGAGGCAGCAGUAGGGAAUCUUCCGCAAUGGGCGAAAGCCUGACGGAGCAACGCCGCGUGAGUGAUGAAGGUCUUCGGAUCGUAAAACUCUGUUAUUAGGGAAGAACAAAUGUGUAAGUAACUAUGCACGUCUUGACGGUACCUAAUCAGAAAGCCACGGCUAACUACGUGCCAGCAGCCGCGGUAAUACGUAGGUGGCAAGCGUUAUCCGGAAUUAUUGGGCGUAAAGCGCGCGUAGGCGGUUUUUUAAGUCUGAUGUGAAAGCCCACGGCUCAACCGUGGA